rnacentral:lncRNA from 1 species
UAAAUAUGAUCUAAUAAUCUUUAUUUUAUCAUCCUAUUUAAUGUGUUUUAAUGUGUUUCACAGGUUAUAACAGGAGAUUGUGCCGCUCAGAUCUGAUUGUUCCCUAUAAAGACGUGUGGAUUCAGAAACUGUGAGUGAACUCUUUAUCUAAAUAACAUCUUUAGGUUUUGGUCAAACUCAACAAAUAUUUCAGUGAGAGUUUGGGUGAAAUGUGUUUAAUCGUCAUGAAAUGUAAUGUUUUCUUUGUUGAAUUAUGCCUCAGUCGGUUUAUUUUAUUCUCCGUCGUCUCUUUCUCUGUAUUUUAGUUGCCGUUAGAGAAACGAGAGCUGCUGAAGUGCAUUGUGGGAGUGUAAAGACGUGGAAAAACUGAACCAACCGCGUGAUAAACUGAACAACGGGAUGCCAGGAAUGAGUGCGCAGGAAGCCAGCACGCAUUCCAGCCUAUACGGCGAGAAGCAGCACAGCGGCCCUCAGUCGAAGGAGGAGCCCACCACCCCCAAAAUCCGCCCCAACCCCAAGUACCAGCUCUACCUGGGCUACAACGGCACCAGCGGCUCCAAUGGGUCAGUGGGGGACGGCGGCGGGAGCCACGGGAAUCUGCUGAGGGUCAGUUCAGUGAUCCGCGGCUCCAUGGAGUCGCUCUCAUCCCGGGACUGGGACAGCAUGUCCGACAGAACGGGCGGCUUUGAAAGUCCUCCCCGAGUUUUCAACAGUCCGUAUUCGACGCUCUCGCUGGACUACAAUCCCAUCAACAGAAUGUCUGACUUCAAGACACAGGAAGUGAUGUCACCCGCCGGCUCUGAGAUGAGUCUGUUUGGUCUGAACAGAAGCGUGAGUCCUGUUAGCAGUCCAGCUGUGAACCACCGCACACGAGUCCCCGGAUACGACAGUCUGACCCGCAGACGAGACGUGAGUCUGCGCCACAGAGAAGCAGGAAAUACAUAUUCAUCCAUAAAAUAAGCAAUCAGUUUAUAUUACAAUUAUAUGUAUGUUAACUGAAAUAAAAUAAAAUAUAAAAAAAUGUAAACUUAUUCUAUCUCAUUCUGUUUCAAAAUCUAAAGCUGAAAUAAAAAAU